UACGAAGGGGGCUAGCGUUGCUCGGAAUCACUGGGCGUAAAGGGUGCGUAGGCGGGUCUUUAAGUCAGGGGUGAAAUCCUGGAGCUCAACUCCAGAACUGCCUUUGAUACUGAGGAUCUUGAGUCCGGGAGAGGUGAGUGGAACUGCGAGUGUAGAGGUGAAAUUCGUAGAUAUUCGGAAGAACACCAGUGGCGAAGGCGACUCGCUGGACAGACAUUGACGCUGAGGUGCGAAAGCGUGGGGAGCAAACAGG
rnacentral:rRNA from 1 species